UACGCCGGUGGCAAGCGUUGUCCGGCUUUACUGGGCGUAAAGGGAGCGUCGUUGGAUAUUUAAGUGGGAUGUGAAAUCCCCGGGCUUAACCUGGGGGCUGCAUUCCGAACUGGAUGUCUAGAGUGCAGGAGAGGAGAGUGGAAUUCCUAGUGUAGCGGUGAAAUGCGUAGAGAUUAGGAAGAACACCAGUGGCGAAGGCGACUCUCUGGACUGUAACUGACACUGAGGCUCGGAAGGGUGGGGAGCAAAUAGG
rnacentral:rRNA from 1 species